CCUACGGGAGGCAGCAGUGGGGAAUAUUGCGCAAUGGGCGAAAGCCUGACGCAGCGACGCCGCGUGAGGGAUGAAGGUCUUCGGAUCGUAAACCUCUGUCAGCAGGGAAGAACGGUCACUGUGCUAAUCAGCAGUGAAUUGACGGUACCUGCAAAGGAAGCACCGGCUAACUCCGUGCCAGCAGCCGCGGUAAUACGGAGGGUGCGAGCGUUAAUCGGAAUUACUGGGCGUAAAGCGCUCGUAGGCGGUAUGUCAAGUCAAGGGUGAAAUCCCCGCGCUCAACGUGGGAACUGCCUUUGAAACUGGCAAACUGGAGUGUGUGAGAGGAGAGUCGAAUUCCAGGUGUAGGAGUGAAAUCCGUAGAUAUCUGGAGGAACAUCAGUGGCGAAGGCGACUAUCUGGAACAUAACUGACGCUGAGGAGCGAAAGCGUGGGUAGCAAACAGGAUUAGAUACCCUAGUAGUC
rnacentral:rRNA from 1 species